rnacentral:piRNA from 1 species
UCCUAGUUGCUGAAAGUUAAGGAAUGUG